UUAGCAUUUAGCACCUUAUCAACGAGCUGGUGGGGUCUCAGCAGGUGUGUGCCUGAUGCCAAAUGGAUGAUAGAGGUCGGUCUGCUGCAGGUGGGGCCAGAGAGGCUUCAGCAAGCCUUGGGCUGCAGGGAACCUCCCGGAGCUGGGCAAAGAGGACAAUUGCAUAAUUGCUCUGAACUCCAGUACUGAUUAGAGCUGUAUGCUGAUGGUACCGACGCAGUUCCUUCUAGUGGGGACGAUGUCUCACGACUGGUGCAUUUUGCAGAAGGAAGAGGUGCUUUGUGAACAGUAAGACUGUUUCCUUUACUCAGCUGUUGCAGCAGGAAGUUGUUUGUGGACACUAAAGACCUGGGAAAGAUUGUUGUGGGAAAAAAGAUUAAAAUGGGGUACUACGAUAAGCACACGUGAACUAGGACUGGAGGAGUUCUGCUGGAACACAGGUGCCACCUCCUGUUGUGACUCUGCUUGUUCCGUACCUGAGGCCAGCCCCUACCUCUGGCUCUCCUGCAGAAGAGCCACCAUCUCCUGGAGUCCGGUUGAAUCUGUUCUAGGCACAUUUUUGGAUCAAAAGUUUUUUGAUGUACUGCUGUACUGAGCAUGCCUCUAACAGGACUGUCUGUUCUGAAAGACAAGGGGGAUUGUGGAAUCCAUUGGCUGGAGGUUACACCGAACAAAAAAAUCACUAGAGCAGCCUGUGAAGGGUUGUGGUCCUUUGUUACACAAAGCUUUUAAAACUCAGGGCUGAAGGACUGGCUAAAAUGCAUCCUGCAGUGACCCUGCAGCACCCAGGGCACAGAACUGUAUGGCCGCUGCUACAGGGCAGCUCAGAACAGAUGCUCAAACCUACUUGGCCAUCAAACUUGUGAGGCUAUCUCCAGUUACACAGCAGCUGUCACCGUGCAUACUGACUACUAAAGUGCUGGACAAAUGGAGAUUAAGGCUUGGACCACUGUCAGGUUGACUGUAAGGCUAGGACAGAUUGAAAAUAUCAGAAAAUCAUCUUUAGUUUGUGGGGAAGCUUGUGCUGGUCUGUCAGCAGUAAAGGAAGCCAUCCGAUUAUGUUAGUGUUUCCUUGUUACAUUAAUCUUUUUCUUAUUGCACAGUGUAUAAAAGCUCCUAGAAAACGCAUAAGUGGCAUAGCUGGUACUGGCAUAACGCAUGAAUGGUUGCAUUGUGACCAUUCUUGUGAGCCUUGUAAGGCCACAUCAGCCACCAUUUACUUGAUGUACCAUAGCCCAGGGGGCUAUAAAUGAAUCCUUCCACUUCUAAAAGAAUAGCUUGUACAGCUGCUAAGGAGAAGACCCCAGUUUCAUUCCUUACUCUUCACAAUCAUUGUGAGCUUACCUUGAAGCAGAAAACAAAAGUAAUUUGAACAGUCACAUUGCUCACAAUAAAUUAAAGCUAAGUCAUUUGGCCCUACCGUACAUGGAUGCUUGGUUCCUUUGGAUGUGAUAACUUGAAGCAGCAGGAUGAUCCAUCUUGUGUAAUGUGGAAGCUGAGACAUGACUUUCCACCAGUCCUUUUUCUUGCUGCUGCAACAAAUAUUCCAGUUGUGACAAGAUAAAACAAAACCAACACAAUACAAUACAAGAAAACAACAAAGGGUUCCUGAAUCAAGUUAGCAUUAAGAGAAAUGAAACACUCUUCUGCAGUUUUGCCAAUACCCGAUAAGCUCCUAGAAGCCUUUCCAGUGAUGCUGCUGAGCCCUCUGAACAGCGAUAAUGACAAUGAGUGUAACAUGGCAUGAAUUUAAGUGAACCCUUAUGUCACUGCUUUGAAGUAUUUGUUUGGAACACACUAAAGAAAAAAGCCAUUUUCAAAGCAUAGGUGUAGAAGAAUAACCUAAACAAACAGUAACAUCUGAAACACAAAAAGAUAUCCAGGCAUUUUGGCAGGGAGCUUAGGUGAUGUCAGAAAACAAAUCUAAACAGAAAUGUUUCUAUGGAUUUAUUUUUUUUUUGAGAACUAAUUGGAAACAGAUUUUAGGUUUGGAUUUAAACUUAUCCUUGCAGCAUCUGCAAUGCUAUUCCUGUGCUAUGCAUUUUAGUCUCAAGAAGUACAAGUUUGAGGCUGUAGAGCAAAGGAAGGAAAAACCUGGCAUCUUCCUGCUCACAUUAUUGCCAUGGACUUAGCUGGUGGUCUUGAGAAAGUCAUUUGACAUGGUUUUUCCUGGGAUUUUUAGCCAGUAGACUUCAAAGUAAAUUACAAAAUCAAAAGAAAGUCCUAUCCUUUGAGCUCUCUUCUUCCUGCCCUCAUAAAUUAGCAUUUUUUGCCCUACUGCGACAGAGUUUUGAGAGCAAUGAAGAGCUCAGCAUAGGUCAACAUCAGAACGGGAUGAUCCAGGGCUCUUCUCUAGGUGGACUGCACAGAUUUUGAACUCCUAGAAGGAUGGGUAUCUUAUUGAACCCAAUCAUCUCAUUUGCUGUCUCAGUGUGUUAGAUCCACUGAGAAAGAGAUACCAGUCUUCCAUUGGAUCAAGACAUUAAUUCGUUUUGUUGCAACUCACGGCCACACAUUCGUUAAAUCCAACCUGAGGAAGGGAGCAGGAGCACUGCUAGAGGCAGUCUAGUGGACCAGGACUCAUCCUGUCUGUGACAGGCUGCAAUAAGAUCACAUUGAGUAAAACAAAGCCACAGCUGAAAUACAUGUGCAACAUCUGGGAAAUGCAGUAAUUUGAGCAGCUAUGGCACUUGGCCCUACAUGGAGGAUGAUAAGCUAAAACUGUUGCUAGAAGUCUUGCUGUGGAGUAGACAGGCUCACAUCUUUUCUGGGUUGGACAAGAGACAAAAAUCAGUAGAAACAGGCCUGUGGAGGCAGGAUGAUGAAUGUUUGUUUGCUUGUUUUCCUGGGAACCAGAAGAAGCCAGUAUGCAGCCAAACAGCUCCUCUCCGUGGCAGCUGCCCGACCAGCACAGACACUGUUAAAUAAUGCUAGAAAUGGGGGCAAAAUCUGGAAAGAAUUACAAUUACAAACAGGAUGAGCAAGAAGGUGUUGGUUGAUCCCAGCACCUGUGAGAAGAAAAGGCUUCCGACCUGCCUUGCUAAGGACAAGAGGACUACUGUGUGCUUUCCACCCUUAUUCACCCCAGACUCAAGAGGAAAAUGUAUCAGGACUUCACCAUUAUCUCAGAAAAACUAGAGCAAGCCCAAAGCCCUAACUACAGCUACUCAGACAUUUUCAAACAAAAGUCUUGCCAGGAGAUAUCAGUCCACUGAACAGGAGAUACUUGCAAAUAAAAUAUAUGAGUCUCAACAAACUUCUACUACAAAAAAGGUUGGGGAGAGCAGAGACCUUGUGGGGAACCUUGGAUACCCUGUCUCAGGUAUUAAGGAAGUGCUCUUAUUUCAAGGUGCCACAAAUGUGAUACUUCCCAGAAGAAUCAGCCUGUUGAUCCCAAAUAGAAGGAGCAAUCAGAAUGCAUGACUGGAAAUCCUGCUGGAAGAUGUCUUUUCUCCAUAUAAUUAAAUCAGGUGAUUAAUCCUUUCACAAUUUCAUUAUUACAAGGAAGUUAUCCUCAUUAAAAAGUUCGCGAUAAGGUCAUUUUCUUACUGAAUUUCCAUUAGUACAUUGACAAAGAAAGAGAACUAAAACCACCUACCGCAGCAGAAUCCUUUCUAUCGAAUAGUUCAGUAUUUUUAAGCUGAGUCCUUUGGACUUUGGGAAUGUUUCUAGCUAAGACUGAAGAGGAGCGUCCAGCUGUCAGAUGAGCAUCCUGCUGUGGAUCAGUACAAGCCACCAGGUGGAAAAGCAAGUCUUGGGCAGGAACUACAGAGAUACAAAAAGAUUUUAACAAAAAUCUAAAAACUGUGGUGUUUUCAUACAUAACAUUCUGCUAACAAAAGAGUAGAACAAGGUCCCAGAAUAUCAGACUUGCAGUCAAUAACAACAACAAAGUAGAGAGGUAUGGUGAAAUACAUUCUUGACUUUAAACACAGAUUGAGAGAAAGCAGAAAAAUGUUUAAGAUCAAGCAUCUAUAUGAAAAGCUUACCAAGAAAAUCCUUGUUAACCAGGAGAGAUCCAGGCCCAUUCCAGUGACAAUCCACCAGCCUCAGGAGCUGCUGAAGGACAGCUGUAACCUUGGACUCUUUUUCACUUCCAGUGGCACUCUGACCUUCUGUGACAGCAGUAUCAUUACUUAGCUCACUGGAAGAAGACUAAUGAGAAAAAGCCAAAGCUAUUUACUUUCUCAGCUGAUGUCUGCAGUACAUCUGCUAGCACCUCCUGCCUUAGCUGGAUGCACUUAACAGGUGCUUAUGCCUGCACUUUUCCAACUGGGCACAAACAAAUUAGAGGCACAGGAUGAAGCUGAGUUUAUGUGAAAGCAUACACAAAUGAUCUCCAGUGGACCUGCAUUUUGUACAGUUUUUCAGUAGUGUAUUGGAAGUGUGCUUUUUGUCACUCCCUGUGCAGUAACAUCACACUGAAAAUUCAUGUUCUCUGUCCUGAAACCCCUUUUUCGGAAUCACUGUUUUCCCUAGGCUCUGUCAGAGAUAAACAGCCUCUCCCACUACAUGUGCCUUCCGUUCCUGUAGCAAAGCAGGUGCCUGUUAUUAUAAUUAAUGGCAGUGACAUUUAUAUAGUUCAUUAUCACAUUUUUAUAUUUAUUUUCAACAUCCUAUGGCAUUGAAAACAAACUGAAGACAUACAUGGACAAAUGGAUAAAAUUGUCUCUGCAGUCAACUGAAUGGUAAAUGCAAAGUGAGUGACGAUGCAGCAUAGGAUUUGUGCCAGGGCUUUGCGUGUGAAUGGGAUGAACAGGACACAAGAGAGUCCAUACAAGCCAAGAGCUAAAGGACAGGUGCUCAGAGGCUUGUAUAAUGUAUAGCACAAUAAAGGGAUGGGGAAAAUGGUUAUGUAAAAUGUCUGCCUGUAUUGUUCUGAAGCAUAAACAGUUUAAGAUUGAAGAGACCACCCCAUCCGGCCCUUCUGAUGCUUGUUCUAUACUCCUGCCUGUUAUUCCUGUACUGAACAUAGGAAAUGACCUGUAUAAAUGUAGAGAAGGAAGACAUCUCCCCUUAACUUGGGAUACUGAGAGACAGAAAACCCACUGUCUCAUUCUUACUUCACUGUGAAAAAAUGUUUCUCGUUCUAAGUCUCUCUGCUCUUCAGUGGUUAACAUUCGAUCAUUGACCCCCACUAUGUGCUCCUGUAACAGCCUAGAGGCUCCUAACUUAUGUCAGCCUGAAGUAGCUGGGGGGAGGAUGAACAGCGAAGGCAGCAGAGACACCAGGGAACUACUUUGUUCAUUGUAGCUUCUCUACUUCACAUGCACACAGGAAAACAAGAUGCACAUCUCAUAAAAGUGGCUAUAAAUCACUGCAGAUUGAGUGCUCUUUGGUCCUAAGGUCAGUUAGAGGUGCUCAGGACAACUGUACAGGCUGCUUGCUGAAAAAUUAUCACAGUACUGCCAACACUGGCUCUACACAGUUCAGCUGCUUUCAGACUGCUGGAGCAGCAGUGGAUGGUUUUAGGUAGUUUUGUGCUACUGGCUUUUGAAGAUGCAGAAGCUAUUUUGUAUUAUCUGUACAGAACAUUUUUAUACUAGGAGAUUUCCGUUAGCAUCUCAAUUUACACCUAUGCAUUUGUGAAGAACAAUGACAAGUAAUACAAUACUUGCCUCCUUGUGAGAGUCUUUGAAGCAACAAAUGGGAGACAUCGGGGGAUGCAGGGUCUCACUUUGCUUAUAUUCCACUCUAGCUGGGCUGGAGGACCUGCGAGCUGCAGGUUCUCUGACCUUCUCAGGUACUGAAGGUAGCAUGGCUGGUUUCAUCAUUAUAGACUUCAAGUUCUCCAGUAACACUUUAGCUGAUAAUGAAGUUGCAUCUCUGAACCCUGCAGAUAAAGUACAAAAAUGACUGGCUAGUAGAGCAGAGCUACGGAUUAGAGGCAUGCAGUUUGACUAUAAAGGACCACAUCUUCACAAAGACACACAUUUUCAAAAGUAUAUAGGGGAUUAUCCCUUUUAAACACCAAUGUCUUGUUGAUUUCGGCAUAAAUUAGUCAUCCAAACGCCAUCAAGGAUCUGUGUUUUUGACUGUCAACAAGCUGGAUAGAAGUGUGUAUUUCACUUAGAAGAGUCCUAAAAUUAAUCUAUUGACCACAGAUUUUGGAAAUGAAAUACAUGAAAACAACUUCAUAAUAGUCUGAGAUUACGAAAGAAGAAGCCUCUCACAGGUACUACUUUUUUUUUUUUUACCUGACUUGAUGUUUAAAGGAUUUUUGUGUUUAAUCUCUGUUUCAGUGAGCUGUGUGAGUGUACUGCCGCUGGCAGUCUGCGAAGACGUAUUCAUUUCUGUAGGAAGCCUCCCACCAUACUCCCUGUGGCCCUUGAUCCUCUCGCCACUCUGAGGUUUCUGGGCAAGGUGCCCAUGCUGGGGAGAAGAGGUCACAGAGACAUGGUAAAAAUCAUCAAAAUUGCUUAGUCUGGCAUCUCUGGAUGACUUAUUUGAGUGAUUUAUAUUCGUGUCACUCAAACUCAAUCUCUUUGUAGAAGAUAUAUCCUGGCUAAGUUCACAGGUGCUAGACUUCUGAAUUGUGUCCAUCUCUGGGGAGGAGCUGAAAGUUUUACUGUCUGAGAAGACCACGUGCAGACCUCCUGCUCUCAUUUUCUCUGGGGUGCGCAGGGAUGAACGCAGUUGUGAACAUGAUGAUAGGUCUGGAAAGAAGUAAAAACAUUACAGUGUGAAGAAAAAAAAACUAAUAACUGCAACACAGUCAUAUAAAGCACAUUUUGACUUGUGUUUUCCUUCCAAUCUUAGAUAAGAGAAAGAAACUAGACCUCUUAAUAACACCUGUGUCCACAGUAUGACUUCUGCUGCUGCUGUAUCAUGCUGCAAAGGUUCAGGAGUACAACAGGAUAAACACUCAAUAGACUGCCAAAACCACAUAGAUUUGAGGGUUUUAGCAUUGCUGGAAUCAGUGUGGAAAAGUCAUUUCAAUAUGUCAAUAUGUCAUAUGCAGAAAGGGAACACUCGAUUUGCCACCAUUAGGCUGAAACUCACUUGGAAAAUUCAACCUGAGCUGGACUCCAGUAUAGAAAUUGGGAAAACACAUUAAGUUAGCCACCUGUGGCUUGAUGUGCGUUAGAAAGGAAAUCACUGGAAGCAGGGAGAAUGUUUUUUCAGGAGAGAUUAAAAAUAAAUAAAUAAAUAAAUAAAGAGUUGGUCUGACCAUGGAGAUAAGACAUGAUAACAAAGAUAGGUCCUCUCCCUAGCAGUAAAAUCUCCCCAGCAUGGAACAGGCAUGUGUGCCUCUGUCAGACCCUUUCCAAAUCUUCAAGAGCUUCCUUUCCACUAGCUGCAAGAGCAGCCACAGACAGCACAGUUACCCACCAGGAUUUAAGACUUCCCUAAACUUCAGGUUCUUUCGAUGCUUUAUUUCCUUUUUGUUUGUAUUUUCCAAGUUACUGUCCUUUGGAAUACAACAAGAAUGAGAAAUCCCACCAGUCUAGUUUGGGAUCAAACCCCAAGUGAGCACAGAUGCAUUCUCUAAAGAUUUACAGUUUAAUGUUUAGCUAAGUAUAGGUAAAGCUCAUAGCAUAGGCACUGUUUAAACACAGAAUCUGUCUGAUAGCAAAGUUUUUAAACUGUGAAUGGAUUCAAACCGGAGAGGACAACAGUGACCAUCCAGCCUCCUGUAUAACCCAGGGCACAAAACUACCCUGAAUUAACCAUACACAAGAAAUCCAGCUUUGACUAAAACAUUCUCAGUGUCAAAAUCUCGCUGUAUUGAUAAUGCAACGAAAAGUACCAGUUUUUGCGCUGACAUCUUUAGAUACUGAAGACAUCCUUCCGCUUACUGCGUGGCUCUUCAUUAUAUUCUCCCUAGAGCAGCAACAUAAAACAGUUGAUUUAAUGGAAUUUUAAGUGGAGUCAGGUAUAAAACAUGAGUCUGACCAGCAGGAGCUGGUGGAUAACACGAUUAGACUCUUUACAUCCACAUUGUACCCUGGCGCACAGUUGAAGACGCAUCAUGCUUGGAUGUAUGUACAACCCCCAAAAUCAAUACAAAUGCUAGUCCCAGAAUGGGGUUAUUGUUUUAUACAUUUAUUUAUAUAUUAGCAUUUAAUUAUGUAUUCAGUUCUGUUUAUUAAUUUAUCAAUAGCUAUUCAUAAUCCAAAAGGAUUUUUUUUAUGUUAUCUGCCAUUGUUUAGCAUUAGUAAAUACAAUUACGUUAAAAGCCUUGAUAAAAUUUGUAGAUUGAUUUAGUUUGCUUGCAGAAUUGGUAUAAACCAUUAAAAUGAUGGUGAUAUGAACAUUUCCAACCUACCUAAUUUUCAGUUACUUUUCACAUCUGUGAAGCAGCAGCUGUUUAAAUUGCAUUUCUAAUAACUCACCAGCUCUGUGCACACAGCUGUAACCUGUGUGAUCAGCUAAUUUCCCCAGCAUUCACCCAGACCAGGUGAGAAGAAGGAUGUUGCAGUGGAAUGUGUGGGUUUCUUCAUCUCACUGGUCUUUGAAUUCACUUGGUUGUCUUUCAUCUGGAUUUCUAGAACAUGAUUCCUUCAGCUGAAAAGUAAGAUCUUAGAUAAUUCGAAGGAGGAGAAACAUGAUUUAUGUGUCCGACCUGCCGAUAUACCAGUAGCUCAAAGAACAUCUCCGAGUUACUGGAGAACGCGAAAAAGUACCAGCAAGCCCUCAGAGGUUUCUCCCAAAAU